rnacentral:rRNA from 1 species
CCUACGGGUGGCAGCAGUAGGGAAUCUUUCACAAUGGGCGAAAGCCUGACGGAGCAACGCCGCGUGCAGGAUGAAGGCCUUCUGGUUGUAAACUGCUUUUAUAAGCGAGAAAUAUGAUGGUAACUUAUGAAUAAGGAUCGUCUAACUACGUGCCAGCAGCCGCGGUCAUACGUAGGAUCCGAGCAUUAUCCGGAGUGUCUGGGUGUAAAGAGUUGUGUAGGUGGCAUAAUAAGUAGCUAGUGAAAUCUGGUGGCUCAACCAUUCAGACUAUUAGCUAAACUGUUAAGCUCGAGCGCGUUAGGGGUAACUGGAAUUUCUGGUGUAGGAGUGAAAUCCGUAGAUAUUAGAAAGAACACCGAUAGCGUAGGCAGGUUACUGGAACGGUUCUGACACUGAGGCACGAAAGCGUAGGGAGCAAACGGGAUUAGAUACCCCUGUAGUC